UUUCACAUGAUGUAGUGGGUAAUUAAACCUAUUUUACAUCACCUUGAUGUACUUCACUCAUAAGUUCUUAUAAUUACGUCUAACACUGGAGUCAUCGAUGGGGCUUAUAAAGUGGUCGUCCGUAACGUUGUUCGAUAACAGUGAACCACUUGCCUCAGGGCGACCGUGCAGCAGUUCGCUUCAACGUCGCACAUUUCUGGUCUCUUGUUACCACACCGUUCGGAGCUGAGCGGCGCCAUGAAUACUUUAACGCCUUAAUGAUACCUCGGUUCAGGGUCACGUCACACAAAUCAAAGCUGAGAGAGUGAGCAAGAACCUGGUUUACAAAACGGGAUUAAUAAAACUGAGGAUUUCCGUAUGCCAUUAGAUCCUUACACAGAUUUUUCUGAGUAUACGUGGUCAAGUGCUUAGAGAAAGUUAAGCCUAACAGCAGACGCGAAACUACAUCAAUCAAGUUAACACUUUGAAAAGUCUUGUUAUUUCCGUACAUCAAAGUUCUGGCACAGUCAUGAUACAACUUCCAUCUGAUCCAGUUCUCUUCAAGCACGGUCCAGGAAAAGAAGCGCAAUCAUAUUGUUCAACAUUGAAGUCCGUCUGUACUCCGAGUUGUCACCAGAACAUUAUGAAAAGUGACCUGAAGAAAAUUGGGGGAAUAUUUUCGAAACGUCGUCCUCUAUAUUUGUGUUUCUACAACAGGCAGUUGCCGUCCAUUCAACCAAAUUUCAUCAUGAAUACUCUGCCUAAACAAUCU